CAUGGAUCACGAUCAACCAGAUCAAAGAUCCUUAUAACGCAACGAAAGAUUGAGCAACCAAAAGAGCAAAUUUCAAAUUGAAUUACGAGACUUCGUAGUUUUCUAACAAUCCGUUGCACCAUCUAAUGAGUGCAGCAGACACUUCACUUCGAAGGAAUGAUCUAUGAUCUUAAAGGAAAAUAUAACAAACAGAAAAAGUAUCUGUUUAAAC
rnacentral:misc_RNA from 1 species